AUGGCAAGGUACUGAGGUGCCCUGGCAACGGCAAGGAACUGAGGCCUUCAUCCAAAGCCAUUAAGUGAGCCAUACUGGAAGCAGGUGCUCCGGUCCCUGGUGGUCUUGAGAUGACAGCAGCUUCAGUGUCUUGACUGCAACCUCAAGAAAGACCUUGAGCCAAAGCCAUCCAGAACAACAGAUGACACGAGAUGUCCCUGCUGGGGAGAAAAACUUGAUGAUCCCAUUGGCAAACCAGCUCCUGAGAUUUGUAUCAAGGCCUCUGCAUCUCACAGCUACCUUGUGUCUCCUCUAUUGAAAAGCUGCUGGGACUUUCAGAGACAUUCUACUAAUGGCAAGUUCUGAGUGCCAUCAUGAAGAAUUUCAGGAAGAGACGUGAUUUGACCUUAGUGUUUUAAAUGGGCAUGGUCCUGCUGUCAAGUUCAGCAAAACAGCAGCUACUGCUGUCUGAUGUACUCUGAAAGCCUGAUCAGUCAGAUCAGCCAUUAGAGACCUGACCUCAUGGACCCAGUUGCAGGGUUGGCUGGAUGAUGGGCUGAUAUGAGGACAACUGCUCCAUCGUGCUCAGCGCUGCUGGGUUGUACUGCAUGAGGAGCCAAGCUCAGUUUUAUUUCCCUGCCUCUUUGCAAACAAUUAUUCUAGCAACAUGCACUAGGCAUACAGAAAAUAAUAUGAAAUGGAUUCUGAUGUUUUUUGUGCUUGGAUUAGUUUGCUUCACUGUAGCCCUUGAACUCUUGAAACAGAAGUAUCAAGAACCUGCUAUUCUCUUAGUGGGCUCUGACCAUGUGGUGCCCCAGAAGUUAUCUCCAAAUAUACUUCAAAAUAUCAGGCAGAGGUUUCCUGUCUAAAGUUACCAUGUGCCAUGCGUGUGUGUUCAUUGGAAAUUCAGAGAUAAGCCAUUUGUGAACCAGGGAUCUAGAAAACUUGUCAUCAGAUGACGCAUCUAUUUUAGGGGCUGCCGAGCUCCAGGUGGCCUGAUUGCUUGUCUGAAGGAAAACAAAAAGAUGCCUUAGUUCCAUGGAAGGCUGCUCUGAGGGAUAUUCUGCUAAGUGGCAUCCA
rnacentral:lncRNA from 10 species